AAUCUUCCACAAUGGACGAAAGUCUGAUAGAGCAACGCCUCGAGAGGGAAGUAGGUUCUCGGCUCGAACAGCUCUGUUGUAAGGAAAAAACACGUACAGGAGUAACUGUCUGUACCUUGACGGUCCCUUACCAUAUAGCCGCGUCUAACUACGUGCCAGCAGCCGCGGUAAUACGUAGGUGGCAAGCGUUGUCCGGAAUUAUUGGGCGUAAAGCGCGCGCAGGCGGUUCUUUAAGUCUGAUGUGAAAGCCCACGGCUCAACCGUGGAGUGUCAUUGGAAACUGGAGGACUUGAGUACAGAAGAGGAAAGCGGAAUUCCACGUGUAGCGGUGAAAUGCGUAGAGAUGUGGAGGAACACCAGUGGCGAAGGCGGCUUUCUGGUCUGUAACUGACGCUGAGGCGCGAAAGCGUGGGGAGCAAACA
rnacentral:rRNA from 1 species